rnacentral:misc_RNA from 1 species
GAUGAAGAACGCAGCGAAAUGCGAUACUUGGUGUGAAUUGCAGAAUCCCGUGAACCAUCGAGUCUUUGAACGCAAGUUGCGCCCGAAGCCAUUAGGCCGAGGGCACGCCUGCCUGGGCGUCACACGUCGUUGCCCCCCCAUCUACUCCUUCGGGAUUGCGGGGGGCGGAUGAUGGCCUCCCGUGCGCCUCGCCGCGCGGUUGGCAUAAAUGCCAAGUCCUCGGCGACGCACGCCACGACAAUCGGUGGUUGCGAAACCUCGGUUGCCCGUCGUGUGCGGUCGUCGCGCAUCGAGGGCUCGAAAAAAUUGCCGGGUUCCGGCUCGGCUUUCAACGCGACCCCGGGUCAGGCGGGGUUACCCGCUGAAUUUAAGCAUAUCAAUAAGCGGAGGA